rnacentral:rRNA from 1 species
UUUUGGACAAGGGGGGAAAGCCUGAUCCAGCAAUGCCGCGUGCAGGAAGAAGUCUUUUGGGUUGUAAACUGCUUUUCUAAGGAAAGACACGGUUUGCCCUAGUACGGCGGGCUAAUGACGGUCCCGUAAGAAUAAGCACCGGCUAACUACGUGCCAGCAGCCGCGGUAUACGUAGGGUGCGAGCGUUAAUCGGAAUUACUGGGCGUAAAGCGUGCGCAGGCGGUUUUGUAAGUCAGAUGUGAAAUCCCCGAGCUCAACUUGGGAAAUGGGUUUGAAACUACAAGACUAGAAUAUGUCAGAGGGGGGUAGAAUUCCACGUGUAGCAGCGAAAUGCGUAGAGAUGUGGAGGAAUACCAAUGGCGAAGGCAGCCCCCGGGGUAAUAUUACGUCAGCAGAAA